UGUUCAGGUGCAAGCACUGCAGCGCAGGGUCCCAGGCCGCAGCCUGUCUCCUACUCGUCGUGCAGCUGCCCCAGACAAGCCUGAUGUGGGCCAGUUCACAGAUCCAGAGCCUAAGGAGGAGGCCAGCAUCCCUUGAAGAAGGAUUGUGAAACACUGCCACAAGUAUAUACUGUCUGAUAAAUGUGAUGGAGCAAGUCAUCAUAACACCUGGAUCUCAACUAUUG